rnacentral:rRNA from 1 species
AGAGUUUGAUCCUGGCUCAGGAUGAACGCUAGCGGCAGGCCUAACACAUGCAAGUCGAGGGGCAGCACAUGAGUAGCAAUACGAUGGUGGCGACCGGCGCACGGGUGAGUAACACGUAUGCAACCUGCCUGUAAGAGGGGGAUAACCCGGAGAAAUUCGGACUAAUACCGCAUAAUACCACGAGACUGCAUGGUUUUGUGGUUAAACAUUUAUGGCUUACAGAUGGGCAUGCGUAUGAUUAGAUAGUUGGUAGGGUAACGGCCUACCAAGUCUACGAUCAUUAGGGGUUCUGAGAGGAAGGUCCCCCACACUGGUACUGAGACACGGACCAGACUCCUACGGGAGGCAGCAGUGAGGAAUAUUGGUCAAUGGGCGAGAGCCUGAACCAGCCAAGUCGCGUGAAGGAAGAAGGUUCUAUGGAUUGUAAACUUCUUUUGCAGGGGAAUAAAGGACGGUACGUGUACUGUUUUGUAUGUACCUUGCGAAUAAGGAUCGGCUAACUCCGUGCCAGCAGCCGCGGUAAUACGGAGGAUCCGAGCGUUAUCCGGAUUUAUUGGGUUUAAAGGGUGCGUAGGUGGAUUGUUAAGUCAGUGGUGAAAGUUUUCAGCUCAACUGAAAAAUUGCCGUUGAAACUGUCGAUCUUGAGUGCAAAUGAGGUAGGCGGAAUGUGUUGUGUAGCGGUGAAAUGCUUAGAUAUAACACAGAACUCCGAUUGCGAAGGCAGCUUACUGGGAUGCAACUGACACUGAUGCACGAAAGCGUGGGUAUCAAACAGGAUUAGAUACCCUGGUAGUCCACGCAGUAAACGAUGAAUACUAGCUGUAUGCGAUACACCGUAUGUGGCACAGCGAAAGCGUUAAGUAUUCCACCUGGGGAGUACGUUCGCAAGAAUGAAACUCAAAGGAAUUGACGGGGGCCCGCACAAGCGGAGGAACAUGUG